GGGGAAUUUUGCACAAUGGGCGAAAGCCUGAUGCAGCGACGCCGCGUGAGCGAAGAAGGUCUUCGGAUCGUAAAGCUCUGUUUUAAGGGAAGAUAAUGACGGUACCUUAAGAGAAAGCCCCGGCUAACUACGUGCCAGCAGCCGCGGUAAUACGUAGGGGGCAAGCGUUAUCCGGAAUCACUGGGCGUAAAGGGUGCGUAGGCGGCCAUUAAAGUCAGAGGUGAAAUCCCAGGGCUCAACCCUGGUAAGCCUUUGAAACUUAAUGGCUUGAGUACAGGAGAGGAGAGUAGAAUUCCUAGUGUAGCGGUGAAAUGCGUAGAUAUUAGGAGGAAUACCAGUGGCGAAGGCGACUCUCUGGACUGUAACUGACGCUGAGGCACGAAAGCGUGGGUAGCGAACA
rnacentral:rRNA from 1 species